GAUGAACGCUGGCGGCGUGCCUAAUACAUGCAAGUCGAGCGAACAGACGAGGAGCUUGCUCCUCUGACGUUAGCGGCGGACGGGUGAGUAACACGUGGAUAACCUACCUAUAAGACUGGGAUAACUUCGGGAACCCGGAGCUAAUACCGGAUAAUAUAUUGAACCGCAUGGUUCAAUAGUGAAAGACGGUUUUGCUGUCACUUAUAGAUGGGUCCGCGCCGCAUUAGCUAGUUGGUAAGGUAACGGCUUACCAAGGCGACGAUGCGUAGCCGACCUGAGAGGGUGAUCGGCCACACUGGAACUGAGACACGGUCCAGACUCCUACGGGAGGCAGCAGUAGGGAAUCUUCCGCAAUGGGCGAAAGCCUGACGGAGCAACGCCGCGUGAGUGAUGAAGGUCUUCGGAUCGUAAAACUCUGUUAUUAGGGAAGAACAAAUGUGUAAGUAACUAUGCACGUCUUGACGGUACCUAAUCAGAAAGCCACGGCUAACUACGUG
rnacentral:rRNA from 1 species